UUUAGAGGAAGGAGAAGUCGUAACAAGGUUUCCGUAGGUGAACCUGCGGAAGGAUCAUUGUCGAAAGCUGCCAAGCAGAACGACCCGUGAACACGUCCAAAAUGACAAGGGGCAUGCGGUGGUCCUCGUGACCUCCGMGCGCCUCGAUGCYGACGUGGAGGGAGGGCGGGGCUCUGCCACGUCCCUCUCUCUCGGAGGCUUAACAACCAACCCCGGCGCAAGACGCGCCAAGGAACAUGAAAUGAAAAGGGUGCGCUGCUUCGGGCCCCGGAGACGGUGUGCUGAGGGGCAUGCGUAGUACUCUUUCGAGAAAAUAACGACUCUCGGCAACGGAUAUCUCGGCUCUCGCAUCGAUGAAGAACGCAGCAAAAUGCGAUACUUGGUGUGAAUUGCAGAAUCCCGUGAAUCAUCGAGUUUUUGAACGCAAGUUGCGCCCGAAGCCUUUCGGCCAGGGCACGUCUGCCUGGGUGUCACGCAAACGUCGCCCCCGACACCUCAAAUGAGGGUGCGGAGGCGGAUGUUGACCUCCCGUGCGCCUUWGAGCGUGCGGUUGGUAAAAAAUUCAAGUCCCGAAAGACAUUGCCACGACAAUCGGUGGUUUGCAUGCCCUCGUGUCCCGUCGUGCGUAUUGUCCUUGUGAAGGACCCAUUCACACCCCGAUGUCGCCCGCAAGAGGCGAUUCCCAUAUCGCGACCCCAGGUCAGGCGGGACUACCCGCUGAGU
rnacentral:rRNA from 1 species